GGGUUGUGAGGUUAAGCGACUAAGCGUACACGGUGGAUGCCCUGGCAGUCAGAGGCGAUGAAGGACGUGCUAAUCUGCGAUAAGCGUCGGUGAGGUGAUAUGAACCGUUAUAACCGGCGAUUUCCGAAUGGGGAAACCCAGUGUGUUUCGACACACUAUCAUUAACUGAAUCCAUAGGUUAAUGAGGCGAACCGGGGGAACUGAAACAUCUAAGUACCCCGAGGAAAAGAAAUCAACCGAGAUUCCCCCAGUAGCGGCGAGCGAACGGGGAGGAGCCCAGAGCCUGAAUCAGUGUGUGUGUUAGUGGAAGCGUCUGGAAAGGCGUGCGAUACAGGGUGACAGCCCCGUACACAAAAAUGCACAUAUUGUGAGCUCGAUGAGUAGGGCGGGACACGUGGUAUCCUGUCUGAAUAUGGGGGGACCAUCCUCCAAGGCUAAAUACUCCUGACUGACCGAUAGUGAACCAGUACCGUGAGGGAAAGGCGAAAAGAACCCCGGCGAGGGGAGUGAAAAAGAACCUGAAACCGUGUACGUACAAGCAGUGGGAGCCUCUUAAUGGGGUGACUGCGUACCUUUUGUAUAAUGGGUCAGCGACUUAUAUUCUGUAGCAAGGUUAACCGAAUAGGGGAGCCGAAGGGAAACCGAGUCUUAACUGGGCGUUAAGUUGCAGGGUAUAGACCCGAAACCCGGUGAUCUAGCCAUGGGCAGGUUGAAGGUUGGGUAACACUAACUGGAGGACCGAACCGACUAAUGUUGAAAAAUUAGCGGAUGACUUGUGGCUGGGGGUGAAAGGCCAAUCAAACCGGGAGAUAGCUGGUUCUCCCCGAAAGCUAUUUAGGUAGCGCCUCGUGAAUUCAUCUCCGGGGGUAGAGCACUGUUUCGGCAAGGGGGUCAUCCCGACUUACCAACCCGAUGCAAACUGCGAAUACCGGAGAAUGUUAUCACGGGAGACACACGGCGGGUGCUAACGUCCGUCGUGAAGAGGGAAACAACCCAGACCGCCAGCUAAGGUCCCAAAGUCAUGGUUAAGUGGGAAACGAUGUGGGAAGGCCCAGACAGCCAGGAUGUUGGCUUAGAAGCAGCCAUCAUUUAAAGAAAGCGUAAUAGCUCACUGGUCGAGUCGGCCUGCGCGGAAGAUGUAACGGGGCUAAACCAUGCACCGAAGCUGCGGCAGCGACACUAUGUGUUGUUGGGUAGGGGAGCGUUCUGUAAGCCUGUGAAGGUGGCCUGUGAGGGUUGCUGGAGGUAUCAGAAGUGCGAAUGCUGACAUAAGUAACGAUAAAGCGGGUGAAAAGCCCGCUCGCCGGAAGACCAAGGGUUCCUGUCCAACGUUAAUCGGGGCAGGGUGAGUCGACCCCUAAGGCGAGGCCGAAAGGCGUAGUCGAUGGGAAACAGGUUAAUAUUCCUGUACUUGGUGUUACUGCGAAGGGGGGACGGAGAAGGCUAUGUUGGCCGGGCGACGGUUGUCCCGGUUUAAGCGUGUAGGCUGGUUUUCCAGGCAAAUCCGGAAAACCAAGGCUGAGGCGUGAUGACGAGGCACUACGGUGCUGAAGCGACAAAUGCCCUGCUUCCAGGAAAAGCCUCUAAGCAUCAGGUAACAUCAAAUCGUACCCAAAACCGACACAGGUGGUCAGGUAGAGAAUACCAAGGCGCUUGAGAGAACUCGGGUGAAGGAACUAGGCAAAAUGGUGCCGUAACUUCGGGAGAAGGCACGCUGAUAUGUAGGUGAAGCGACUUGCUCGUGGAGCUGAAAUCAGUCGAAGAUACCAGCUGGCUGCAACUGUUUAUUAAAAACACAGCACUGUGCAAACACGAAAGUGGACGUAUACGGUGUGACGCCUGCCCGGUGCCGGAAGGUUAAUUGAUGGGGUUAGCGGCAACGCGAAGCUCUUGAUCGAAGCCCCGGUAAACGGCGGCCGUAACUAUAACGGUCCUAAGGUAGCGAAAUUCCUUGUCGGGUAAGUUCCGACCUGCACGAAUGGCGUAAUGAUGGCCAGGCUGUCUCCACCCGAGACUCAGUGAAAUUGAACUCGCUGUGAAGAUGCAGUGUACCCGCGGCAAGACGGAAAGACCCCGUGAACCUUUACUAUAGCUUGACACUGAACAUUGAGCCUUGAUGUGUAGGAUAGGUGGGAGGCUUUGAAGUGUGGACGCCAGUCUGCAUGGAGCCGACCUUGAAAUACCACCCUUUAAUGUUUGAUGUUCUAACGUUGGCCCGUAAUCCGGGUUGCGGACAGUGUCUGGUGGGUAGUUUGACUGGGGCGGUCUCCUCCUAAAGAGUAACGGAGGAGCACGAAGGUUGGCUAAUCCUGGUCGGACAUCAGGAGGUUAGUGCAAUGGCAUAAGCCAGCUUGACUGCGAGCGUGACGGCGCGAGCAGGUGCGAAAGCAGGUCAUAGUGAUCCGGUGGUUCUGAAUGGAAGGGCCAUCGCUCAACGGAUAAAAGGUACUCCGGGGAUAACAGGCUGAUACCGCCCAAGAGUUCAUAUCGACGGCGGUGUUUGGCACCUCGAUGUCGGCUCAUCACAUCCUGGGGCUGAAGUAGGUCCCAAGGGUAUGGCUGUUCGCCAUUUAAAGUGGUACGCGAGCUGGGUUUAGAACGUCGUGAGACAGUUCGGUCCCUAUCUGCCGUGGGCGCUGGAGAACUGAGGGGGGCUGCUCCUAGUACGAGAGGACCGGAGUGGACGCAUCACUGGUGUUCGGGUUGUCAUGCCAAUGGCACUGCCCGGUAGCUAAAUGCGGAAGAGAUAAGUGCUGAAAGCAUCUAAGCACGAAACUUGCCCCGAGAUGAGUUCUCCCUGACUCCUUGAGAGUCCUGAAGGAACGUUGAAGACGACGACGUUGAUAGGCCGGGUGUGUAAGCGCAGCGAUGCGUUGAGCUAACCGGUACUAAUGAACCGUGAGGCUUAACCUUACAACGCCGAAG
rnacentral:rRNA from 1 species